AUUGAACGCUGGCGGCAGGCCUAACACAUGCAAGUCGAGCGAGCGGCGGACGGGUGAGUAAUGUCUGGGAAACUGCCUGAUGGGGGGGGAUAACUACUGGAAACGGUAGCCAAUACCGACUACCCUCCGAUGUGCCCAGAGGGGAUUAGCUAGUAGGUGGGGUAACGGCUCACCUAGGCGACGAUCCCUUGCUGGUCUGAGGGGAUGAACAGCCACAGUGGAACUGAGACACGGGCCAGACGCCUACGGGAGGAAGCAGUGGGGAAUAUUGCACAAUGGGCGCAAGCCUGAUGCAGACAUGCCGCGUGUGUGAAGAAGGCCUUCGGGUUGUAAAGCACUUUCAGCGGGGAGGCGUUACCCGCAGAAGAAGCACCGGCUAACUCCGUGCCAGCAGCCGCGGUAAUAC
rnacentral:rRNA from 1 species